UGGGGAAUAUUGCGCAAUGGCCGAAAGGCUGACGCAGCGACGCCGCGUGGGGGAUGAAGCAUUUCGGUGUGUAAACCCCUGUUGCCCGGGACGAACAAGCAGAUUUUUCUGCUCUGGCGGUAUCGGGUGAGGAAGCACCGGCUAACUCCGUGCCAGCAGCCGCGGUAAUACGUAGGGGGCAAGCGUUGUCCGGAUUUACUGGGUGUAAAGGGCGCGCAGGCGGGAUAAAAAGUCAGUGGUGAAAUCCUACAGCUUAACUGUAGAACUGCCUUUGAUACUUUUAUUCUUGAGUUCGGGAGAGAGAGACGGAAUUCCAGGUGUAGUGGUGAAAUACGUAGAUAUCUGGAAGAACACCAGUUGCGAAGGCGGUCUCUUGGUCCGACACUGACGCUGAGGCGCGAAAGCGUGGGGAGCAAACA
rnacentral:rRNA from 1 species